rnacentral:lncRNA from 1 species
UUGCCAAUAUAUAAUCUGCCUUCUUCCCUGGCUACUGCCUACCUCAUAGCCGCCUGCACAACUCCGCCUAUCCACUACCGCCCCGUAGUUAACCCGCCCCAGCUCCUGCCCUCCCUCUACCCAACCCUAUAUAACCAAGUGUAUUUCCGCAAUAAAGCAGACUUGUUCCUGCGCUCAGGCUAUCUCCGUGGUUUUUACCGCGCGUCCCCCACGCCUGGAGAACCUAAGCCUACGCGCUGGCCUAGGGGCUUCCCGCCGAGCCGUGGAAAGCUGCCCGGACCUCGUGGGCCGCUAAUCACUGCCAGCGAGCCCACACUUGGGGGCUCGUCCGGGAUUCUUUCCUUCCACCGCCUUACGGCCCCUGUUGUCUGCUGUUGCUGUUGUCUACUGGCGACCAUUUCAGCUCUCCAGAUCUUUCCAAAGACCCAACUCUGCACAAGAGAAGCCUCUGCUACCUCCGCAACCCGCCGUUGACAAGUGCCUGACCUUCACCAAAACGUGCCUUAUAACCUAUCAAUAAAGGGAACUCACCGUGCAAAUGCUCCUCAAGCUCCCCUCCCACCCACUCUUACUUUGCUUUUUUCUUGCAAUUUUCAUUUUUCUAACAAUCUUUUCAGCUGUCUGUCUCGCAGCCACAGCCCCAACAGACUGGAACCUUCGUCAACGUCUUCUCCUCGCUAUUGCCUGGUUGCUUCUAAUUGCUAUCCUCAUCUCUCUUGUAGUCCUUCUCCCAUGACCACUAUGCGCCCCCAAGUACAUUCAUCUGAGCCUACUACCCCAACACCGUCGCCCAUGGGGACCACACCAGCUCUCUCUCGCCGCGAACGACGUUGACAACGCUUCUUUGCCCGCCGCCUAAGCCGACUUUCUCUUGAAGAUGAUGACCCCAUCGAACGCCAAAUUCUUCAACUCCUCAGACAAGCCCGCUCUAUCCAGACCCCCGCCUCCUGCCCCUCCACCCUCCCCCGUCUCAUUCAUCUCCUUAUCCUCAUGCUGUCUCUAGCCUCCUCUGCUACCGCCAACCUGAAUCACCAGCCCUUCAAUUGGACCCUCAGCCUCUGGCAGUUUGAAAAACUUCUCGCCUUCAACGUGACUGCUGGAGCCCCCUCCUUCACGCU